rnacentral:tRNA from 1 species
GCUCUGGUGGUGGAAUUGGUAGACACGCAGGACUUAAAAUCCUGUGAGCAUUACGCUCGUGCGGGUUCAAAUCCCGCCCGGAGUA